rnacentral:piRNA from 1 species
AUCAUCACAUGAGCUUGAAGGUCACAGUA